UGCCAGCAGCCGCGGUAAUACGGAGGGGGUUAGCGUUGUUCGGAAUUACUGGGCGUAAAGCGCACGUAGGCGGAUUAGUAAGUUAGGGGUGAAAUCCCGGGGCUCAACCCCGGAACUGCCUUCAAUACUGUCAGUCUUGAGAUCGGAAGAGGUGAGUGGAAUUCCUAGUGUAGAGGUGAAAUUCGUAGAUAUUAGGAAGAACACCAGUGGCGAAGGCGGCUUUCUGGACCGAUACUGACGCUGAGACGCGAAAGCGUGGGGAGCAAACAGGAUUAGAUA
rnacentral:rRNA from 1 species